GAUGAAGAACGUAGCGAAAUGCGAUAAGUAAUGUGAAUUGCAGAAUUCAGUGAAUCAUCGAAUCUUUGAACGCACAUUGCGCCCGCCAGUAUUCUGGCGGGCAUGCCUGUCUGAGCGUCAUUUCAACCCUCAUGCCCCUAGGGCGUGGUGUUGGGGAUCGGCCAAAGCCCGCGAGGGACGGCCGACCCCUAAAUCUAGUGGCGGACCCGUCGUGGCCUCCUCUGCGAAGUAGUGAUAUUCCGCAUCGGAGAGCGACGAGCCCCUGCCGUUAAACCCCCAACUUUCCAAGGUUGACCUCAGAUCAGGUAGGAAUACCCGCUGAACUUAAGCAUAUCAAUAAGCGGAGGA
rnacentral:misc_RNA from 1 species